CGGCAGCACAUACUAGUAUACUAAAAUUGGAACGAUACAGAGAAGAUUAGCAUGGCCCACGCGCAAGGGUGACACGCAAAUUCGUGAAGCGUCCCAUAUUUUA